GGCAUGUCGGGCCCCAGGCCUGUGGUGCUGAGCGGGCCUUCGGGAGCUGGGAAGAGCACCCUGCUGAAGAGGCUGCUCCAGGAGCACAGCGGCAUCUUUGGCUUCAGCGUGUCCCAUACCACGAGGAACCCGAGGCCCGGCGAGGAGAACGGCAAAGGUGAGUGGGGUGGGGCCCUAUGGCUGGAGCACCUCCAGUGUGGGCAGGGCUGCUGGGCCCUGCAACUGUGUUGGCUGUGCUGCCCGUCUCCUGCCCCCAUCAAUCCCUCAUCUGUGAGAUGGGUCCUUGCCUCCAAGGGCCGGUGAACUCAAUCAGGGUGUCAGCGCC
rnacentral:sRNA from 1 species